AUUGAACGCUGGCGGCAUGCCCUACACAUGCAAGUCGAACGGUAGAGUAGCAAUACUCGAGAGUGGCGAACGGGUGAGUAAUAUAUCGGAACGUGCCCAGUCGUGGGGGAUAACGUAGAGAAAUUUACGCUAAUACCGCAUACGAUCUACGGAUGAAAGCGGGGGAUCGCAAGACCUCGCGCGAUUGGAGCGGCUGAUAU
rnacentral:rRNA from 1 species